GCCACAUGUACUCCGGAAUCGUCAGGUGAAUCUGAGUGUUGGAGGUUGGCGCGGUCGCACUAUUUAUUUCCCAGCGUUGGCUGGCUGACGGACUUUGGAAGCUUUUCUCCAAUUUCCGCGUGAGCGGUUUUAUGUGUCACGUUUAUGGGGGCUAUUUUUUUUUUUGUUACGCUCCCUCAACUCACUUACCAUUCCGUGAUGGCGGCAGUUUACGCGCCUUUUUAUGCAAUGGAAAAGUGGGAAAAAAGGAGUCGUGGCUAACACGCACCGUAUGCGUGCAUUAUGUACCCGUGGUUUGCUUUAUGGACGGGAAGCGUGAACGCGAUCGUUCCAAUGGUUAUUUGGUGAUUCCGAUGCCGGUUAAAGGGUCUAUCGGUAGCAUGGAUCGGUGGAAAUUAUUUAUCACGGAAUGGCGGCUGGUUUGCGGACAGUUUUUUGUUGGUAGUAUGGUACAUGAAGCGUAAUCAUGAGUGUGUAAUUAGCGUGUCGAAUGAUCGUGUGUGAAAAUGUGUGUGAUCAGACGAUCAGUUAUGAGUGAUCGUUUACUUAACAAUAUUUUAAGCCUUUCCCAUUCUCGCAUUAAGCCUGAAAGUAUGCAACGUAUGUCGAAUCGAAUGCGUUUCUACGUCAGCGCAACUCCAACUGCAGACCGCUCGUUAGUUAAAUACGGAAGUGUAACAUGAUUUGCGGAAAUUACUACCAGGGGCAGCGUUCCGGCUAAACGGUUCGAUCUGUAUUUGCACGAGCAAACCCCAAAUCAGAAAGCCUGAAGAAAUGACCGUCGAUGGCGUCACUGGUACUGCUGCAAGCUCGCUGCAGAUUGAAAUUGGGUCGGGUGCAAGUAACACCGGUACGUACAACUAAUUUCCGAUAAAUUAGUUUCGAUCUUACAGUGACUCCGGGCGGAUGUUUCCGGUGGCGCUGGCAAGAGUAAUCAAAUUAUCCCACCGUACCAGCGCUGUAAUUAGCCCACGGCCAUGGCAAGAGAUUACGGCGCUCGCCCAAGAAGAGUUGUACCGUAGUUAGUAGCUGUACUACAGUGCACACCAUUGUCUUGUGCGCCCGAUGCGUUCUUGCUCAUCCUUCACCGAUCUGACCGACCACGGGGAAAUUCCGAAUUCGUCCGGAUGAAACUUGCAACCAACCAACUGCACGGAGAACAAUGGAAAAGGCGGUCAGCGCCAGACACUGGCGGACCCGGUAGAAUGAUUAAAAAUGCAUGCCGCAUUUUGAUUAUUUCUCGCACGUUUUCACUUUUUCCCUUCGCAAAACACACACACACACACAAAGUUAGGACGAUGUAAGGAUUCAUUGGUCGCUUUUCUCUGUUUUCGGAAUGGUCGGAACAAUCUUCCAAGCAAACGUACCUCAACGUUAGAAUGGGGGAAAACAUAAAAUGGAGCCCUGCCUCUGCCAGCACUUGCAAUGCUUAGUACCCCGCUUGAUACGUAGCCGGUCGUCUGUAGCAUCCGAAAAUGGAGCGAAAAUUACUUCUUUUCCGGGAUAAUAAUUUUCAAAUUAGUUUUCAUUUCGAGCGUGCAGUGGCGAAACCAGCGUCGUCCGGUAGUGCGAGAGGUAUGUGCGAACGUGAGCUUUCAACGGGUGUGCUCGUGAUUUUGCUGCACGAAUGAUAGCAUUCGGGGUUGAAGAUGGUUUAAGGUGUGUGCUACACUGAUUGUUCGAAUUUAAAUAGAUUUUUUAGGGUUUUAAUUGAUCAAAACAGUUUAAAAAUAGCUGAUUUUCGUAGCUUCCAAUCCAACCCAAUCCAAUGCUCCUAAAUGUUUUCUAUUCGCUAGACAAAACCGUACUUCUUGACUUGGAGUAUUUGUUUUCAAACCGUAGCGGUUUUUUUUUAAAUUUUUUUAAUAUAAAGUAAUUUCAACACUUCUUAAAUUUCGGAAAAAUAGUUGAAUAUAAAAUUAUAAAAUGUAUGCGUCAUUUCAAGGCUAAUUAUAUAUUUAAGAGCUUAUUUACAACAAACUCCCCAUAAUA